GGGUUACAGAAACUGAGUAAACUGAGUCUCAUAAACAAACUUGCAGAUCUGCAGUGGGCUGAAUGGACUCUAGGAGCUCAAAAAAGCCAUCUGGAACAGUACCCUCCUGUCAAUCAACACUCUUAACGGUCAGUUGCAACAACACGCUCGAGGUCGGCAGCACAAAGCAGAGUCGCUCUCUUACCAGCUUGCAUACCGCACCACUCACAGACACACACACUCAGACAGUCAACACACACACCUUGCCAGGAACACCCGGGGAGCUGAAACACAACUGACUAUAGAGGAAGGAAGAAAAGAAGAAAGGAGGAGAGACCGGCAAAGAGAAGAAAAGGGAAAAAGAAGUAAAAGAAGAAGAAAAAGAAGACUUAUAGACAGAUAACAUAUAGAUACAUUUGUGGAAAAUAUCAGUCAGGUUGUCCAAUUGAAGAGCUCCCUCCUGAGGCCUCCUGCUGACUGAUAACAAGCACAGCUCUGUACAAGUCCGGGAGCUCAUGAGCGUGUGUGCAUAACCUCCACUCUACCUCUGUGUGUGUGUGUGUGUGUGUG